rnacentral:rRNA from 1 species
GACGAACGCUGGCGGCGUGCUUAACACAUGCAAGUCGAACGGAAAGGCCCUGCUUGCAGGGUACUCGAGUGGCGAACGGGUGAGUAACACGUGGGUGAUCUGCCCUGCACUUCGGGAUAAGCCUGGGAAACUGGGUCUAAUACCGGAUAGGAGCCAUUUUUAGUGUGAUGGUUGGAAAGUUUUUUCGGUGUAGGAUGAGCUCGCGGCCUAUCAGCUUGUUGGUGGGGUAAUGGCCUACCAAGGCGGCGACGGGUAGCCGGCCUGAGAGGGUGGACGGCCACAUUGGGACUGAGAUACGGCCCAGACUCCUACGGGAGGCAGCAGUGGGGAAGAUUGCACAAUGGGCGCAAGCCUGAUGCAGCGACGCCGCGGGGGGGAUGACGGCCUUCGGGUUGUAAACGCCUUUCGCUAGGGACGAAGCUUUUUGUGACGGUACCUAGAUAAGAAGCACCGGCUAACUACGUG